rnacentral:rRNA from 1 species
GAGUUUGAUCGUGGCUCAGGAUGAACGCUAGCGGCAGGCUUAACACAUGCAAGUCGAGGGGUAGGUCAUUUCGGUGACUGAGACCGGCGCACGGGUGCGUAACGCGUAUGCAAUCUGCCUUUUACAGAGGGAUAGCCCAGAGAAAUUUGGAUUAAUACCUCAUAGUAUUAUGAAUCGGCAUCGAUUUAUAAUUAAAGUUCCAACGGUAAAAGAUGAGCAUGCGUCCCAUUAGCUAGAUGGUAAGGUAACGGCUUACCAUGGCGACGAUGGGUAGGGGUCCUGAGAGGGAGAUCCCCCACACUGGUACUGAGACACGGACCAGACUCCUACGGGAGGCAGCAGUGGGGAAUAUUGGACAAUGGGCGCAAGCCUGAUCCAGCCAUGCCGCGUGGGUGAUGAAGGCCCUAGGGGUUGUAAAGCCCUUUCGGCGGGGAAGAUAAUGACGGUACCCGCAGAAGAAGCCCCCGGCUAACUUCGUGCCAGCAGCCGCGGUAAC